UUCACUGUUCUCGUUUUGUUUUGAGGGAACUCAUCUUUGCCAAAGUUUCAGUCAUUUCUAUUAGGGUUACUUGCAUCUGUGUGAAUUAUACUACAGUCCAGUUUUUAUUAAGCCAUUUGCUCAUUCCGAAUUAGCAAAAAUAUUAUUAACGUGGUAUGAUUCCUUAUUACAAUAGGAUUACACAAAAGCUUACACAUGCUGUAAACAAUGAACUCCAAUGGUUGAUGGUGUGAACAUGCCACCACGUAAACUAAAUUCCAGUACUUAUAGAUACCUUUUCGGAGGUGAGAGAGAUACGUGAUUGGAAUCCAAAAGGUUAAAUGAAGUGAGUUCACAAAUAAAAUGGGCAAAACUGUU